rnacentral:rRNA from 1 species
GACGAACGCUAGCGGCGUGCUUAACACAUGCAAGUCGAACGGUAAGGCCCUUCGGGUACGACGAGUGGCGAACGGGUGAGUAACACGUGGUGAUCUGCCCUGCACUUCGGGAUAAGCCUGGGAAACUGGGUCUAAUACCGGAUAGGACCAUGGACUUCACGGUUUGUGGUGGAAAGCUUUUGCGGUGUGGGAUGGGCCCGCGGCCUAUCAGCUUGUUGGUGGGGUAAUGGCCUACCCAAGGCGACGACGGGUAGCCGGCCUGAGAGGGUGUCCGGCCACACUGGGACUGAGAUACGGCCCAGACUCCUACGGGAGGCAGCAGUGGGGAAUAUUGCACAAUGGGCGCAAGCCUGAUGCAGCGACGCCGCGUGAGGGAUGACGGCCUUCGGGUUGUAACC